GGGCAACCUUUCCUCUGGACAGGUUUUGAUAAAUCUCUCCCUAUGUGUAAAUCAUGGCUUAUAAAAAAAAGAGCACUAGGAGUCCUCAUACCAUCUAGAACAUAAUCCUGUCCAGCUGCUGCAUCAUCUUUGUCCCAGCUAAAAACAGAAAGGAGGGAGUUAGAAAACAGCCUGAAGUGAUUGGAUAAAGAGACCGAGCACAGCACAGCAGGAAGUAAAUGCAUGGAAAAUAGAAGCUUUGAGGCAAUGACAAUAAAACAAUGAGAAAGAAACACUUAUUAGAAAGGAAGUGCUACAAGAAUACUCAUGUAUAUGAAAGCCUUUCCUUCAAAAGAAUUUGUGAUUUCUUCUUUGCAAAUGUGAUUUUUUGAUGUUGUGUCUGUUCAUUUUCAGCUUUUAUGC